UGAGCAAUCUGCCCUUCUCAUCGGAAUAAGCGUUGGAAACGACGUCUAAUGCCGAAUACGACCUCCUUUCGCAUGAUCGGAGGUGGAAAGCUCCGGCGGAGAAGGAUGAGCUCGCGGCCUAUCAGCUAGUUGGUGUGGGUAAUGGCCCACCAAGGCGACGACGGGUAGCCGGCCUGAGAGGGUGACCGGCCACACUGGGGCUGAGACACGGCCCAGACCUCCGUACGGGAGGNAGCG
rnacentral:rRNA from 1 species